CCCGCGGAGGCGCUCAACAGGAAUGCGUGAAGGACAUUUCCUAAUUGGCAUUCCGAGGCACGGAAGCAAAGCAGAGGAUGAGAGACGGUUGGGAUCUUCCAGCAGAGCCUUCUGUGUGAAUGAUGUUCUGUGCAGCUUGAAGACGAGCAGAGGGAGAGGCGUGCGUCUACACAAUAUCCAGAUAAUUAAGCUCUGACAUAACGGAGCGCGACGGAUUCACCGGGAAGCCGUUGGCCACGAAAAGGAACGGACGGACGAGCAGACUUUCAUUUUUUUUUUUUGCUACGAGUGUGUGAUGUGCUUUUGAUUGACUGGAGAAUUACUGCCAAACAUAUACGGGGGGUAAACAGAGGGCAAAAGCAGUUUGUUUGUUUGUUUGUUGUUGUUGUUGUGUAGACAUCGGGGGUCCAGGGGUCAGACCGCUGAGGGUGACUUUGACAGCACGCCACAGGGCUCUGGCACAAGACCGAGAGAAGAAAGAAGAAAACGCCACGAGGGAGGGGAAAAGAGAGAAAAGCCGUGAAAAUAAACGCAGACGAGAACAUUUGUGACAAAACAACAAAAAAUAAAUUCAAACAGCUUUUCCUCCAAGGCUCUUUUCUCCAAUCGCCCCUGUCGUAUUCUGCAAAGCUUCGCUGGCCUGUCACAAAAACAAGGUUAGCAGUCUUUUCCCCCCCCGGCUUAGUGGCCCCCUUUCUGUGGCAGAUACAAAAUGUUUUAUCAAACCCUGUUUAUGGAAAUGUCAUGUCUCGCUGCAUAAUAGAGGAGCUAGAGACGGAUGAAAAACAACACCAGAGGCUGACAGGCCGCCAGCGAGGGGAAGUUCCUGCGUUAAAAAUGAGUUCUCAACAAGGGGCUCGGGCAGAAAUGACCGCUCACCUCGGCGUCCCCUCGCGCUUUCACCUUCACCCGCGAGGCCCUGUUUGGGGUUUGGAUCCAUCCAAAAAAAUCAUCCAAAAAAUGUGCCCCAUUUCCAUGAGAGAACCAGAAAAAAAGAAAUGACAGAAAGAAAUGAGAUCUGAUGGCGGAUGUGGGGAACGGGGAGAUGAAACUGUCAAAUAUCUGUGUGAAAAAGCUCUUUAGUUCACUUGCACUAUUUGUAGCGGCAGCCGGCUCGUGCUAGAUUGGAUGCUAACACUGAAUUACACAAGCGAAUUCCUGCAAGUGCUCCGAAUUAACCCAGUUAGCUUUCACAGACUCAACAGUUGCCGUCCCAAUUUCCGAAUGCACCAGAUGUUUGGAUGCUUCGCACCGGGGGACCGGCGAGGACGAGAUCAAACCGGGAAGUUGUCAAUUAUUUGUUGAUUUUCUGAGAAAAUAAUCCAUCUGUCAAAGAAUAAAAGUUUGCUCUUGGAAUA